AAUCGUGAGUGUGCAUGUGCACUUAUGUAUACAGGUAACACCUGCAACUCGGGGGCCAUCACUGUGUGACCCCCCACUUUAAAGAAGUCUUGGGUACGGGCUUUGGGAAGGUCACUAUCCAGUACAAGUUUUAUGAGAAAUAAAGUGAGACACUAGUAAAUAAGAGAAAAACAAGGGGGAGUGGGAGAAAGGCAGAGUCCAUAGUGUCUUUUUUUUUUUUUUUCUUUUUCUUUUUCCAGCUGCGCCUGCAGCAUAUGGAAGGUCCCAGGCUAGGGGCUGAAUCAGAGCUACAGCUGCCGGUCUAUACCACAGCCACAGCCAAUGCAGGAUCCAAGUUGCGUCUGCAACCUACACCACAGCUCACGGCAACACUGGAUCCUUAACCCACUGAGCGAGGCCAAGGCUCGAACCUGCAUGCUCAUGGAUCCUAGUCGGGUUCUUAACCCACUGAGCCAUGACGGGAACUCCAGUAGUGCCUUUGUUGAUUGGGACCUGAGGACACCAGACUUCAGGGACCCGGGGCGGGGCACUGCUCACUCAGCCCCUCCUCGGUGCUGGCGCGGCUCCAGCCCUCUCUCCCCUCUUCUGGGUCUUCCUGGGCGUCACCAGAGAAGGUUCCGGAGUGUGGGUCACAUGGAUUCCUGUCUCCCUCACGUCAGCCUCACCCGAGUCUGCAGGAAACCGGCUCAGGGGGCAGCCGCGGGCUUCGAGGAAAACACCUCUGCCCUCCCGACCUGUGCUCCACCCGUCAGCCUCUGGGAGGAGCAGAAACGGGGACAAGACCUCUUUCCUACCCUGGGUGUGACACUGUCACAGGCCAUCCUUGUCGAAUGGCCCCUUUAGACUUCGCCAGCCCCUCCUCCACUGAGGGCACAUCGGGCUGUUGCCGUCAUGAGGAUGUGACAGUGUCACAGCUGAGCCCGAGCAGAACCGCGUCUGCUGGCACAUGAUAUAAAAAGGAGCUCUUGUUUUGCACAAAAGGCGAGGGGAGCUGGUCCCUGGGCCCCCAGGGAGGGAGGGAGAGGGACAGGCUGUACUUGACCUCACAGAGUAGGAGGUGAGGCAGAUGACAUCUGCCAGCACCUGCUAAGCACAAAACACACCUGGCACCUUGCGUAUGUUUCCUCGUCUCGUCCUGCUGUUCACCUGCAGGUCGACAUCGUGACCUUCGUUACUCGUAUGAAGCUCAGAGCGGUUGAGUUGCGAGUCUUCUGAGGCUUGUCCAGGGUACAGGAAGAAUUUGAACCUGAGGGUCAGAAGGUUCGAGAGCAGGGAGAAGCCCGGGGUAGCUUCCUUCACGUACUGACCGUGGGUUCAAGGUCCAUGUGAUCGUCACGCGUGCAAGCCUGGGGGUCGCGGGCAAAGCUUUCAGGGUUUUGUUUCUGUUUGUUGUUUAAUGAAGGAAGUCUGAGCUUCCUUCAGGCAUGAGCGGUGAGUUCCACACCUAAAAUAUAUUCACGUGAGUCAGGAGAACUGCUUUUCGGGGUGUUUUGGAACAAUUUCUAAAAAAACGUGGUCCCUGGACCAGCCUCUUGAUCAUCGUCACCCAAGACCUUGUUAGAAAGGCAGCUGGUCAGGUCCCCCUGCAGACGGGCUGAAUCAGAAGGUCUGGGGUCGCCCCCACCCCAUGGCUGCAUUUUCACAACCGUCUUGUCAGCAGUGAGUCGUGCUGGAAUUUGAGACCCACUGUUGCAGUGAAAUAUUGGCAGGUCUGUCCUGCCCUCUAGACACUCAACCUCUCACCUUAUCCUCGUGACAUCUGGGUGUGUCAUAGUGCUUGAUACCUAUGAUAUACCUAUCACAGUGCCUGACAGGUACACCUCUGGGGAUGUGCCUCUCAAGUGUGGUCCUGCAGACGUAUGCAGCAUGGGAAGACAGGAUGCUUGUUCAAAAUGCAAACAUUUAAGCCCCCACCUGUCCCACGACUACACGCACACCCGUGGCAUCCAGGUCCCGGGGGUAGGACCCAGGGGUGUGCAUUUUGAUUACUUCAUUAAUUCCAUGUAUCCUUUUUUUUAAUUGCUUAUUUAUAGAAUAGGUAAUAAAUAAUAAAUACAUCCAAUUGGUACAACAUUCAAAUUGGACAAAUGAGGAUCCAAAAAAAUUAAGUCUUCCUUCCACCCUCUACCCCUAUACCCACCUACCCAGUCCCCUCCUACAAGGCAAUUACAGAGAGCAGGUUUGUUUUGUUUGUUUGUUUUUCAUAUAUUGUUUCAGAGCUUUAACACUUUUAUAAGCAAUUAAACACACACACACAGUACAAAAGGAUCCUACUGCAGAGUUUCUUGCUUUUCCUCCCAGUUAUUUAUCUAGACUCCACAUUAAACAAAUUCACCAAGUGUGAUUCUUUUAACUGUUGGUAGGAAUGUGAAAAGGUGCAGCCAUUCUGGAAAAAUAGUAUGGAGUUUUCUGAAAAAAGAAAACGAAAAAUUGGAGUUCCCAUUGUGGCUCAGCAGGUUAAGAACCUGACUAGUAUCCAUGAGGAUGCAGAUUUGAUCCCUGGCCUCGCUCAGUGGAUUAAGGAUUCCGCAUUGCGGAAAGCUGCAGGUAUAGUUCACAGAUGUGGCUUGGAUCCGGUGUUGCUGUGGCUGUGGUGUAGGCGGGCAGCUGCAGCUCUGAUUCAGCUCCUAGCCUGGGAACUUAUAUAUGCUGCAGAUGUGGCCCUAAAAAGAAAAAUUAAAUCAAUCAAUCAAUCAAAACUAGAACUAAUAGAAGUACCAGAGGAUCCAGCAAUCCCACCUCUGGGCAUUUACCCAAAGGACGCAAAAAUACUAACUCAAAAAGACACACCCUCCCACGUGUUACAGCAUCAUUUGCCCUAGCCAAGACCCAGAAGCAACCUAAGUGCAAACAAGCUUUUAAGCAUGCCUUCUUUUCAGAUUCGGGGGACAGAAUUUGAAAGUCGUGUUCCCAUAAGUGAGAGAUAUUCCUCAGAUGUUUCUCAGCUCAGCUGUGGUUCAUCCCAAAGCUAGAAGUGCCGAGCUUUGCGUCGCUAGCAUCUGAAUUCGUAAGGGAAUAUUUAAUCGAUGCUUCGUCUUUGGUUCCUGUUUUGCUACCCGUCAUGUGUCUCCCGCGAGUGUAAAACCUUGUGUCAUAAAACCACCAGUGAGAAGAUUUCAGGUCUCUUCUUUCUGUUCAUAUGUACCCAAUACUGGGGGGAGUGGUACCCGGCCCGGGAUUGACACUUGGUAAGUAACUGUGGAGUGAAUAUGAGGGUGGUGCAGAUGGCUGAUGAUCAGUGGCUUAGCAGAGUCACAGGUAUUGCAGUUCAGGGUCCUGGGAGGGAGACAGACAUUUCAAGCCCCCAGGUGUGAUUCACACCUGCUCUUUGUAGGUGUGUGGAACCCAGCACUUGGCAGCGGAGAGUCAGCCGUUGAGGCGGGGGACGCAGCAAACACACACUUGAAGGGCUGCUUCAGUACAAAGGCAGCUGCUUGCAAUAAAGGCGCUGCAGCAGCGAAGCCGAAGCCGAACAAACAAACAAAAUCCAUAAAACCAACAAACAAAACCAUGCCCCAUCCAGCCAUUCCCUCAGGACAGACUCCAGCUUCAACUCUUGCAAGACCUCUUGUCCUCGUGGUUUGCAUUUACAGCUCCCAGCUGAUGAUGCGCAUUAGACAGGUGUCCAACAGGUCUUCGUGUGCACAGGUUCUCUUCAUUGUUAGUUGAAUAAAGUGGAGCAAACGGAAGUUAGCCGCCGCCACCGCUAAUGUAUCCGCCCUAAAAUGCAGAGACUGAUGGAGCUUAAAAGACUCUAUGAAAUUUCAGUCUAUCGAGUAGGUCCUCCCAGGGCCUUUGAAAGACACAUAACAAACUGGGGUUAUUAGAGGGUACAGCCUCGAGCUGAAGUCUAAAGACGGGGCAUGUUAGAAAUAGAACUCAAUGGCCCUGGAACUGUUGGGGUCUGGACGAUGAGGCGGUAUAAAUAGCUGAAUCAAAGGACGCCUGUUCUAAGCUGUCCUUUUCACUGGGCAUUCCUGGGGGGGAGCUGAGCCUGGGGCGGGUCCUGCUGGAUCUGGGGGAGGGCACGAAUGUGGACCAAGCAGGCACCACCUUCCCCCCGCUAUCUGGUGGGCCUUCUGGUCUGCAGGCAUCUCACAUCUGUGCUGGUGCCCCAGCCUGAGGCGCUGAACUGGGGAUCCAGAGUGUACAGAGCGGUCCCGGGAGCCUUGGGGACAGCCAAGGAAGGACUCCCGCGCGUAAAACCAGGGGAAGCCUGGGGAAAGUCACAUUGGCGAGAGUAGGACUUGAAAUCCCAGUCUCCAAAAAUGCUUUCUUAAAAAAGUCUCUUGAAACAGUCCAUGGGUGAUUUUUACGCGGCCGCGAUGUGUCUGUUUUGGAGUCGAAAACGUCCUCCUUUCAUCUGAUCGUUUCCUAGAAUCCUGCGUCUGCGUCUCCCGUUCACUCACUGACUUUCGAUUCAGUUCAGCACUCGGUCAUCACUUAACGCAGCCCAGACACUCUGUUUAAGCUCUUUGAGGGCGCGUGUGUGAACACAGUGAGAGGCAUCAGUAUUCGUGCUGGAAACAGCCUUAGAGAUGAUUCCUUAAUUCAUUCAAAUAAAUGCGGAGUCUACACGAUGCCCCCCCCCCCGAAAACUAAGAAGAUAGCAAUAAGCCAGGACAGGCAAGGUGUCUGGGUCCCGUGAUCCAGGGGCACAUUCUAGAGCCACCUGGAGAGCUUGUGAGAUGCCCAUGCCAGGACGGAAACCCACCCUGAAGCUUCUGAUUCCGUUUCAUAGAGUCCUGGCGACACAGGGAAAUCGGGUGCCCGUUCUGUCUCGGAACCAGGAAGGCGGCACCGUUUGACUGCAUGGAGCAAACUCGGGUUCAGAGAGAAGCCGUAACGUUCCCGAGGAUAUAGACGGCUUCAGGCGUGCCGGGACCUCAGAUGUCACAGUACCUACCUCACGGCAGGAUGGAUAAAGAGACACGAACACGAGUGGCCAUAAAAGCAGGUCCAAUGUGGCAGGGUCUCUAGGAAAAGCCCAGAAUACCCCAGGGAUAGGUCACUUCCAGGAAGGUCAUACCAGAUGCCAGACGAAAAGGCCCGGAGUGGCCUUGGGAAAUGCCGGCGGUGGUGUGAGUGUUUAGGAAGGAAGAGUGAGCCCUCCAAAGCCGUGCUCUUUGGAGACGAUUUUGGCUGUUUAGGAUCCUUUGCAACGAACGCCUCAUGCGUUUUAGAAGCGACGCUUUCAUUUCGGCAGAAAAAGGCCACUGGGAUUUUCGUAGGGAUUGCAUUGAAUACACCGACUGUUUUGGGGCCUAUAACCAUCUUAAUAAUAUUAAGUCUUGCAGUCCACAAAGAGGGGCGUUUUCCCAGUUUUUUAGGUCUCUCUAACGUCUUCCGCAGCGUUUCGCCAACUUCGCUGUGUACGUGUUGGAUGAAUUCAUUUCGAAGUAUUCUCUUCCUUUUGAUGCUGUUGUAGAUGCAGUUGUUUUCUAAAUUUCCUGUCUGGAUUGUUCAUUGCCAGGGUACAGAAAUCCAGCUGACUUUUGCAUGUUCGUCUUAUACCCUGUGACUUUGUUCAAUUAGCUUAUUAGCCGUGAUGGAUUUUUAAAAAUAGAUUUUCCAGGAUUUUCUGUAUCUAAGAUCAUGUCUUCUAUGAAUAGCUGUACUUCCUCCUUCCUUUUAUUUCUUUCAUUGCCAGAAUGCUCUGACUGGAAUGUCUAGUAAUUUUAUUUUUUUUUUGGUCUCUAUUUUAGGGCCGCACCCGUGGCAUAUGGAGGGUCCCAGGCUAGGGUAGAAAUGGAGCUGCAGCUGCCGGCCUCCACCACAGCCACAGCCACACGCAAUCUGAGCCCCAUCUGCGACCCACAGCACAGCUCACGGCAACGCCAGAUCCUUAACCCACUGGGCGAGGCCAGGGUUGGAGCCUGCAUCCUCAUGGACACUAGUCGGAUUAGUUACUGCUGAGCCACAGCGGGAACUCCAUCUAGUACUGUUUUGAAUAGAAGUGGGGUGAAAGGACAUGUGCGUCUUAUUCUUCACGUUGGAGGAAAAGUUUUCAAUUGAUGGAUAUGAAGAGAGUCUUUCUUAAUUACACUGAUCUAGUCCAUGAUGUAGUUACCAGCUAGAUUCCCGGUGACACACAAGCGACUGAGGGAGAAAGAUUGCAAUUUCUGUCUCCUACAUCGAUAUAGGAAUAGCAACCAGGAAAAUCAGAAAGGAAAAUGCAGGCGUUCCCUGAUGGCCUCGUAGUGAAGGAUCUGGGAGUUGUUACUGCUGUGGCCCAGGGUUCGAUCCCUGGCCUAGGAACUUCUGCAUGCCACAGGUGCG
rnacentral:lncRNA from 1 species